UAUAUAGGCAUAUAUGUAAUAUUGAAUUUUUUUAAUAUUUUUGAAAGAGAGAGAGAGAGUACAUAAACAGAGGAGGGGCAGAGAGAGAGGGGGAUAGAGGAUCCAAAGUGGGCUCUGUGCUGACCGUAGACAGCCUGAUGAAGCCACUAAUAUUAACAUCUUGUAAAGGCUGAAAAGCACAAAGGCAAGUUUAAAAAGUGAUAUAACAGGGCACCUGGGUGGCUCAGUUGGUUAAGCAUCUGACUUGGGCUCAGGUCAUGAUCUCACAGUUUGUGACUUCGAGCCCUGCAUCAGGUUCCAUGCUGACAGCUGGGAGCCUGGAGUCUGCCUCAGAUUCUGUGUCUCCCUCUCUCUGCUCCUCCCCCCACUCAUGCUCUCUCUCUCUCUUUUUCCCAAAAAUUAAUAAACAUUUAAAAAAUUUUAAAAAGUAAUAUAACAAAAUGCCAACGCAGAACAAGUGGGUUAACAUUUUGUCAUGUUUGCUUCCACAGUUUAGAAAAAUGAACAUUCAAACCCUUCCACUCUCAUUCCCAUACCGUCCUCCCUUCAUCAUGGGAACUGAUAUGAUUUUGGUAUGGAUCUUCCCUGUUAUUUUGUCAUUUUAUAAAUGUUUGUGCCUAUCCCUAUCUUGUCUCUCUGUCUGUUUAAACCUGACCAUUUUCUAUGUAUUUCUAGUUCUGAAGAAACCAGCAGCAGCAGAAGCUCUUCCUUGAACAAGGCACUGGUCAUGCCUCAAUUAGGACCCAUGUUCCUGCUCCCAGUACUUCUGCCCUCACAUCUCCUGAUAGGACAUGGUACCAGUAGGGCAGGACACCAGCCCUGAGGAGAAGAGCCCAGGACUCUUCACAUGGAAUGAGUGCCUUUUCUAUACUGCCAGGAACAUGAGGACAGCCCAACAAUGGCUGUACAGGAGGUACAAAAUGGAUGCUCAUGGUCUGCAGGCUGUUCUCCUCCAAGUGGUGGUUUAAGAAUCUAUCUUGGCCUCCGCCAUCUCCACAACAUGGCUUCCAAAGCUGUUGCCUGGGUCUACGUCAAGCCAGCAGUCGAGUUAAAGCUUAGAGAUUGUGCGUGGGAGGUUUCUACGGGCCAGGCCUGGCAGGGGCACGCGUCACAUGGGCCCUCAUUCUGUUGGCUUGAACUGAGCCUCACAGCUACACGGAACUGAGAAGGAGGCUGCUAACUGUAGUCUAGCCAGGAGCCCCCGAAGAUGAAAAGGCUUCGAUACUAAGUUAGCAGUCUCUGCCACAGUGUGUUAUUAACAUCCCUCACUAGCUUACACGUGUUAAAUAUUUACUGUUCACCGGCAACUGUUCUAAGAGCUUUGCAUUUAAUCUUCAACAGCUCUUUGAGAUACAUACUAGUUUAAUCCGCAUUUUACAAGUGAGGAAACAAGAGGUACACAGAAACGGAGUGAGUUGUCGAAGUCAUACAGCUCAUAUGUGGUGGAGCCUGGAUUUGAACUCAGGCAGCCGAAGACCAGAACAGGUGGCCAGAACCACAACUUUGUACUGCAUCCAGAUGAAGAUUGCAUAGUAUUUCAAAUGCUUGGACGGGCCAACUUUACGUAACCAUUUUCAUAUUGUGAGAGAUUUAGAUUAUAUAUUGAUUAGGUCUCUAAAUAAUGCAUUGCUGAACAUCUUAACGUUUUUCCCCCCUGCAUUAUUGAUUGAUUCCUUAGGAUUAAUUCUUCUUUUUUUAUUUUUAAAAGUUUGCUAAAUCAAGCCUACAAGAGUCUGCUUCCUUUCUGAAUUAUGCACUGCAUACAAAUGACCUCAUUAUUGACAAGACAUUCAUCAUUGGAUGCUAACUGUUUUGGUUCAGCUCUCCCGGUUUGCAAAUUAUUCUCUGCAAAAAUAUUAAUCUGCUUUUGUUGAUAUUCAGCCCUGACGAUACUUGAAUAGACAGAGUUCCUCACUUUACGCAGCAGAGUCAUGAAUUUUUCAUUGGAAAAGAUCUCACAGCUUAUCUGAUCCAAUUCCUUAGUUAAUAGAGAAAGAUAGUUCUAAAAAUGGUGGGGCAAAAAUAGAAAUUUUGUAAACUGAAUCGCAUUUUUUACUGACUAGGGGAGCUUGCUGUCAAAGACAUUCUAUGAGAAAUGCUUCCUGUGAGUGAAAAUUUAGCUUGUGAACAAUUAGGAGCUGUGAGAAUCAAGAUGCAGAAAGGGACCAAACUGUGACAAACUGUUCCUUAGCUUUGGAAGUGAUUUGUCUAUUAUGCAAUAACAGUUAACAUUUACCGGGUGCUUAUUGUACAUCGGAACACCGUGCUCAACACUGUACAUACUUUGUUUCAUUUCAUCCUGGCAACAAACCUGUGGGGUAUUAUAUUGUUAACUGUCCCUGCUGUACAAAUGAGGAAACUGAGAAGAGGCGAGGUUAAAUAAGGAUGCGCUGCUUUAAAAGGCAGAAUCACCCCAACAGAAUAGCUCAUUUCCCCUCAUCAACACCCUUUAUGUCUUUUCAGAUUCUUUGUUUGUCAGGGUCAGGGUGGAGUGCGGGGAUUCCACUCAGGUAGAUCAUUCCAAAAUCCUAAAAUUCUCUUCGUUGUCAGGUUUAAAAAAAAAAAAAAAAAGGAAUAGGAUAGGAAGUUAACUAGUAGCAUGAAAAUCUAAACUUUCUUGAAAGCUGAGUGGGAGGGAUGGGCCAUGUGAAUGCUGAUUGAUUGAUUAAUGAAUGACCUUUCAAGAAGAGGGGACCCACCAGGAAGUCUUUUGUGGGGUUCCCAUUCUCUGUCACUUGCUCAUUCUCUAUUUCAAAAGCCAUCCCACCAGGUGUCUCCCUCCUCCUUCUCUUCCUUCCCCCUCUCCUACAGCCUCCUCCCAACCUCUCCUUGGCCCAGCCUUCCUGCCUAUCUCUGUCCUUUCCUGUCAUUCAAGCCACAACCCUGGAGAACCUUCUCGAGCUUCUCAGAAGGGAGAGGCUGACUUCCAAGAGGGUUCAUCUGUUUUAAAUGAGACACUCCUUCCCAGAUGCAAACCAUUAUCUCAAGACCCCCUUUCCUCAUGUGGAACAGAAGAGUAUCAGGGGCCUACAUAUUCCCCCAUGUGACUGUCCUCCAGUCUCAGGCAACACAGAAGGCCAAGAUCUUGCUCCCAGAGGGCAAUGGGGGCAGCAGGUCCUAGGUCCUAGGGAUCAGGAGUGCUGAGUUCUUUCUGGUGGUCCUUUGGCUGCUGUGUAAAACUGAGGACAGCCAGGUAC